UAAAAUCUUUUGAUUUAAGAA
rnacentral:piRNA from 1 species